rnacentral:rRNA from 1 species
AACGAACGUUAGCGGCGCGCCUAACACAUGCAAGUCGAGCGAGAAAGGGCUUCGGCCCCGGUAAAGCGGCGCACGGGUGAGUAACACGUGGAUAACCUACCCCCUUGGUGGUGGAUUAAACCCUUUCCGAAAAGGAGGGCUAAUACAGCGUAAGACCACGACUUCGAAAGAGGUUGGGGUAAAAGUGGGCCUCUGUACACAAGCUCACGCCAGGGGAUGGGUCCGCGGCCCAUCAGCUAGUUGGUAGGGUAACGGCCUACCAAGGCGAAGACGGGUAGCUGGUCUGAGAGGAUGAUCAGCCACACUGGAACUGAGACACGGUCCAGACUCCUACGGAGGCAGCAGUGGGGAAUCUUGCGCAAUGGACGAAAGUCUGACGCAGCGACGCCGCGUGAGUGAUGAAGGCCU